UACGAGUGCCUCAAGCGUUAUCCGGAAUCAUUGGGCGUAAAGGGUGUGUAGGUGGUUGUGUUAGUCUCGCGUUAAAUGCUCCGGCUCAACCGGAGUUCCGCGCGGGAAACGGCACGACUAGAGGACGGUAGAGGUUUCUGGAACUCAUAGUGUAGCGGUGAAAUGCGUUGAUAUUAUGGGGAACACCGAAAGCGAAGGCAAGAAACUGGACCGCUCCUGACACUGAAACACGAAAGCGUGGGUCGCGAAUGGG
rnacentral:rRNA from 1 species